rnacentral:lncRNA from 1 species
CUAGCUUCAUUCUUGUGUCCAUCCAAUGAAAACUUUAGGUUUAAAGAUAUAUCCUGUAUAUCUCUCAAGGAAUCUCCUGGUGAAUCUGUAUCUGAAUUUUCAGUUCCAUCAUCAGUUCUUUGCCACUGUGGAUGCCUUGGUUUGCAACUGGCUAUUUUAGUUAGAUAAGUCUUGCAAUGCUCUGGCCAUGAGAAGAGAUGAAUAUUUUUCAACCCAUUCUGUCGACAUUUUGCCCAAAGCUGCUUAUCUGCUACAAGCUUUAGAAGAGCAUCGGCAAUAGACUGCUGAUCAUGGGGAUCAACAAGAAGGCCAUUGUCA